AUGAAGGACCGCCGCGGCGGCGCCGGCUUCCCCUUCUCCAUCGGCUGCAUGUCGCAGUCCGCCGUAGCUGUUGCCGACCCGCUCGACAAGAAGCCGCAGGCGCCAGCGCCACAGCAGGCUGACACCCCCUCCUCCUCAUCCACCAACACCACGGCGGCCACCGUACAGGAACACCUACCGGGGUCUAUUUCAGAGAGAGGCGCCGGAGAAGAAAGCAGCGAGGACAAGGCGAGAACCACGGCGGCGGCGUCAGGGGUCGUCACGGCGGGGGUGCAGCGGCUGCUCAGAGGGAUCAAGACCUUCUUCGCGAUGUACGACGGCGAGGAGGAGGACGAGGAGGAGGAUAGGGAGAUCGUGAUCGGGUACCCCACCGACGUGCAGCACGUCGGGCACAUCGGCUGGGACGGGAUCAACAAGGUGGGCGGCAUGGUCGGCGCCUUCUCGCUGCCCUCCUCCCUCUCCCUCCGCCAGCUCGAGAUCGCCAUGGACCCCGGCGCCGCCACCACCACCUGCAUCAACUGA
rnacentral:rRNA from 1 species